UGCGGAGGAUCAUUAUCGAUUUUCUACCGAGGANGGGGGGAGAUUGUAGCCNUGACCACCGGGCGUGUGCACGUCUCUCUUUUUCUUCGACUUACACACACAUACNCCUUGUGCACUCNUUCGUAGGUCCUCGAGAGAGGAUCUAUGUUUUCAUUCAUUCUCCACGUCGUAUGUCUUAUGAACGAANAAAAAAAACAACAAUAAUACAACUUUCANCGAUGGAUCUCUUGGCUCUCGCAUCGAUGAAGAACGCAGCGAAUCGCGAUAUGUAAUGUGAAUUGCAGAUAUUCAGUGAAUCAUCGAAUCUUUGAACGCACCUUGCGCUCCUUGGUAUUCCGAGGAGCAUGCCUGUUUGAGUGUCAUUAAAUUCUCAACCAUGUGGCUUGAUUGUCCCUCAUGGCUUGGACUUUGAGGGUUGCCGGCCUCGCCUCGAUCGUCAUCGAAGGAGUCCGGCUCUCUUGAAAUGCAUUAGUGGAUCGACUUGCAAUCUUGGGACAGUAUGGUCCGAGACCAUGCAUCCUCCGUUUCGNCGACGUGAUGAUGAUCGUCGUC
rnacentral:misc_RNA from 1 species